AGAAUCAACGCUGGCGGCGUGCCUAACACAUGCAAGUCGAACGAGAAAGUGGAGCAAUCCAUGAGUACAGUGGCGUACGGGUGAGUAACACGUGACUAACCUACCCUCGAGUGGGGAAUAACCUCGGGAAACCGGGGCUAAUACCGCAUAAUAUCUUCGGAUCAAAUGCGUAAGCAGCUUGAGGAGGGGGUCGCGGCCGAUUAGCUAGUUGGCGGGGUAAUGGCCCACCAAGGCAAUGAUCGGUAGCCGGCCUGAGAGGGCGCACGGCCACACUGGAACUGAAACACGGUCCAGACUCCUACGGGAGGCAGCAGUGGGGAAUUUUGCGCAAUGGGGGGAAACCCUGACGCAGCAACGCCGCGUGGAGGAUGAAGCCCCUUGGGGUGUAAACUCCUUUCGAUCGGGACGAUUAUGACGGUACCGGAUGAAGAAGCACCGGCUAACUCUGCGCCAGCAGCCGC
rnacentral:rRNA from 1 species